rnacentral:lncRNA from 1 species
UAACAUACGGUCACAUUUUCAUUUUCUUGUAAUUAUUCUAUUUUCAUUUUCUUGUAAUUAUUCUUUUUUCUUUUUUUCUUUUUCAUUUUCUACUUAUAAUUAGUAUUUUAGCAUAUUUUUUAAUCUGCAUAACUUAUGUUAAUUGUUUAAUUAUCAGAAUAUAGAAGAUGACAUUUUAUGUUCUUUAGGAUAUAAGUAUAUAUUUAUAAAAUUUUGAUGUUCAAUACAUGUCUUUCGAAACUAAUUAAUGUCAAGGUUUGUUACUCAUUACAUGUUUGAUUGAUUUAUAUAAUUGAGGUUGUAAUUAAAAUAAAUAUUUACUUUACAAUACUUAAUAGAAAACUCUAGUUCAUAAUCACUUUAUGAUUGUAUAAACAAAAUAAAAAGGGUAAAAAAAAACGUACUGCUGAAAAAUUGUCAUAUUUUUCUUUUUUUUCUAUCUUUUAUGAGUAAUUUUCUUUCUUAUCUUUCAAAUGUACAAAUCAAGUGAUUUCUGAUAUAGGUUGAUCUUUUGAUGGUUACACAUCUCAAACUUGUUUAUUUUGUCACUCUAUUCAUCUGUGUUUCCUCUUAUUUUCAAUUUUAUUCUUGCGUCACCAAUGAUUAUGAUAGGGUUUUUCGUAUUGUUUUGAUGAGAUUGAGAUGUUUGUUAGGAUUAUGAGGAUCUCACAAUAAUAAAGGUGGUGCUAAUGUAACACUGGAAAAAUGAUUGAGUUGGUUUCCUUUAUAACAUACGGUCUCAUUUUCAUUUUCUUGUAAUUAUUCUAUUUUCUUUUUUUCUUUUUCAUUUUCUUGUAAUUAUUCUUUUUUCUUUUUUUCUUUUUCAUUUUCUACUUAUAAUUAGUAUUUUAGCAUAUUUUUUAAUCUACAUAACUUAUGUUAAUUGUUUAAUUAUCAGAAUAUAGAAGAUGACAUUUUAUGUUCUUUAGGAUAUAAGUAUAUAUUUAAUUAAUUUUGAUGUUCAAUACAUAUCUUUCUAAACUAAUUAAUGUCAAGGUUUGUUACUCAUUACAUGUUUGAUUGAUUUAUAUAAUUGAGGAUGUACUUAAUAUAAAUAUUUACUUUACAAUACUUAAUAGAAAACUCUGGUUCAUAAUCACUUUAUGAUUGUAUAAACAAAAUAAAAAGGGUAAAAAAAUACGUACUGCUGAAAAAUUGUCAUAUUUUCCUUUUUUUUCUAUCUUUUAUGAGUAAUUUUCUUUCUUAUCUAUCAAAUGUACAAAUCAAGUGAUUUCUGAUAUAGGUUGAUCUUUUGAUGGUUACACAUCUCUAACUCUCUCAUUUUGUCACUCUAUUCAUCUGUGUUUCUUCUUAUUUUCAAUUUUAUUCUUGCGUCACCAAUGAUUAUGAUAGGGUUUUCGUAUUAUUUUGAUGAGAUUGAGAUGGUUGUUAGGAUUAUAAGGAUCUCAAAAUAAUAAAGAUGGUGCUAAUGUAACACUGGAAAAAUGAUUGAGUUGGUUUCCUUUAUAACAUACGGUCACAUUUUCAUUUUCUUGUAAUUAUUCUAUUUUCAUUUUUUCUUUUUCAUUUUCUUGUAAUUAUUCUUUUUUCUUUUUUUCUUUUUCAUUUUCUACUUAUAAUUAGUAUUUUAGCAUAUUUUUUAAUCUACAUAACUUAUGUUAAUUGUUUAAUUAUCAGAAUAUAGAAGAUGACAUUUUAUGUUCUUUAGGAUAUAAGUAUAUAUUUAAUUAAUUUUGAUGUUCAAUACAUAUCUUUCUAAACUAAUUAAUGUCAAGGUUUGUUACUCAUUACAUGUUUGAUUGAUUUAUAUAAUUGAGGUUGUACUUAAUAUAAAUAUUUACUUUACAAUACUUAAUAGAAAACUCUGGUUCAUAAUCACUUUAUGAUUGUAUAAACAAAAUAAAAAGGGUAAAAAAAUACGUACUGCUGAAAAAUUGUCAUAUUUUCCUUUUUUUCUAUCUUUUAUGAGUAAUUUUCUUUCUUAUCUUUCAAAUGUACAAAUCAAGUGAUUUCGGAUACAGGUUGAUCUUUUGAAGGUUACACAUCUCAAACUUGUUUAUUUUGUCACUCUAUUCAUCUGUGUUUCCUCUUAUUUUCAAUUUUAUUCUUGCGUCACAAAUGAUUAUGAUAGAGUUUUUCGUAUUGUUUUGAUGAGAUUGAGAUGUUUUUUAGGAUUAUAAGGAUCUCACAAUAAUAAAGGUGGUGCUAAUGUAACACUGGAAAAAUGAUUGACUUGGUUUCCUUUAUAACAUACGGUCUCAUUUUCAUUUUCUUGUAAUUAUUCUAUUUUCUUUUUCAUUUUCAUUUUCUUGUAAUUAUUCUUUUUUCUUUUUUUUCUUUUUCAUUUUCUACUUAUAAUUAGUAUUUUAGCAUAUUUUUAGUCUAUAUAACUUAUGUUAAUUGUUUAAUUAUCAGAAUAUAGAAGAUGACAUUUUAUGUUGUUAAGGAUAUAAGUAUAUAUUUAAUUAAUUUUGAUGUUCAAUACAUAUCUUUCUAAACUAAUUAAUGUCAAGGUUUGUUACUCAUUACAUGUUUGAUUGAUUUAUAUAAUUGAGGUUGUACUUAAUAUAAAUAUUUACUUUACAAUACUUAAUAGAAAACUCUGGUUCAUAAUCACUUUAUGAUUGUAUAAACAAAAUAAAAAGGGUAAAAAAAUACGUACUGCUGAAAAAUUGUCAUAUUUUCCUUUUUUUUCUAUCUUUUAUGAGUAAUUUUCUUUCUUAUCUAUCAAAUGUACAAAUCAAGUGAUUUCUGAUAUAGGUUGAUCUUUUGAUGGUUACACAUCUCUAACUCUCUCAUUUUGUCACUCUAUUCAUCUGUGUUUCUUCUUAUUUUCAAUUUUAUUCUUGCGUCACCAAUGAUUAUGAUAGGGUUUUCGUAUUAUUUUGAUGAGAUUGAGAUGGUUGUUAGGAUUAUAAGGAUCUCAAAAUAAUAAAGAUGGUGCUAAUGUAACACUGGAAAAAUGAUUGAGUUGGUUUCCUUUAUAACAUACGGUCACAUUUUCAUUUUCUUGUAAUUAUUCUAUUUUCAUUUUUUCUUUUUCAUUUUCUUGUAAUUAUUCUUUUUUCUUUUUUUCUUUUUCAUUUUCUACUUAUAAUUAGUAUUUUAGCAUAUUUUUUAAUCUACAUAACUUAUGUUAAUUGUUUAAUUAUCAGAAUAUAGAAGAUGACAUUUUAUGUUCUUUAGGAUAUAAGUAUAUAUUUAAUAAAUUUUGAUGUUCAAUACAUAUCUUUCUAAACUAAUUAAUGUCAAGGUUUGUUACUCAUUACAUGUUUGAUUGAUUUAUAUAAUUGAGGUUGUACUUAAUAUAAAUAUUUACUUUACAAUACUUAAUAGAAAACUCUGGUUCAUAAUCACUUUAUGAUUGUAUAAACAAAAUAAAAAGGGUAAAAAAAUACGUACUGCUGAAAAAUUGUCAUAUUUUCCUUUUUUUUCUAUCUUUUAUGAGUAAUUUUCUUUCUUAUCUAUCAAAUGUACAAAUCAAGUGAUUUCUGAUAUAGGUUGAUCUUUUGAUGGUUACACAUCUCUAACUCUCUCAUUUUGUCACUCUAUUCAUCUGUGUUUCUUCUUAUUUUCAAUUUUAUUCUUGCGUCACCAAUGAUUAUGAUAGGGUUUUCGUAUUAUUUUGAUGAGAUUGAGAUGGUUGUUAGGAUUAUAAGGAUCUCAAAAUAAUAAAGAUGGUGCUAAUGUAACACUGGAAAAAUGAUUGAGUUGGUUUCCUUUAUAACAUACGGUCACAUUUUCAUUUUCUUGUAAUUAUUCUAUUUUCAUUUUUUCUUUUUCAUUUUCUUGUAAUUAUUCUUUUUUCUUUUUUUCUUUUUCAUUUUCUACUUAUAAUUAGUAUUUUAGCAUAUUUUUUAAUCUACAUAACUUAUGUUAAUUGUUUAAUUAUCAGAAUAUAGAAGAUGACAUUUUAUGUUCUUUAGGAUAUAAGUAUAUAUUUAAUAAAUUUUGAUGUUCAAUACAUAUCUUUCUAAACUAAUUAAUGUCAAGGUUUGUUACUCAUUACAUGUUUGAUUGAUUUAUAUAAUUGAGGUUGUACUUAAUAUAAAUAUUUACUUUACAAUACUUAAUAGAAAACUCUGGUUCAUAAUCACUUUAUGAUUGUAUAAACAAAAUAAAAAGGGUAAAAAAAUACGUACUGCUGAAAAAUUGUCAUAUUUUCCUUUUUUUUCUAUCUUUUAUGAGUAAUUUUCUUUCUUAUCUAUCAAAUGUACAAAUCAAGUGAUUUCUGAUAUAGGUUGAUCUUUUGAUGGUUACACAUCUCUAACUCUCUCAUUUUGUCACUCUAUUCAUCUGUGUUUCUUCUUAUUUUCAAUUUUAUUCUUGCGUCACCAAUGAUUAUGAUAGGGUUUUCGUAUUAUUUUGAUGAGAUUGAGAUGGUUGUUAGGAUUAUAAGGAUCUCAAAAUAAUAAAGAUGGUGCUAAUGUAACACUGGAAAAAUGAUUGAGUUGGUUUCCUUUAUAACAUACGGUCACAUUUUCAUUUUCUUGUAAUUAUUCUAUUUUCAUUUUUUCUUUUUCAUUUUCUUGUAAUUAUUCUUUUUUCUUUUUUUCUUUUUCAUUUUCUACUUAUAAUUAGUAUUUUAGCAUAUUUUUUAAUCUACAUAACUUAUGUUAAUUGUUUAAUUAUCAGAAUAUAGAAGAUGACAUUUUAUGUUCUUUAGGAUAUAAGUAUAUAUUUAAUAAAUUUUGAUGUUCAAUACAUAUCUUUCUAAACUAAUUAAUGUCAAGGUUUGUUACUCAUUACAUGUUUGAUUGAUUUAUAUAAUUGAGGUUGUACUUAAUAUAAAUAUUUACUUUACAAUAUUUAAUAGAAAUCUCUGGUUCAUAAUCACUUUAUGAUUGUAUAAACAAAAUACAAAUGGUAAAAAUAUACGUACUGCUGAAAAAUUGAUAUAUUUUCCUUUUUUUUCUCUAUCUUUUAUGAGUAAUUUUCUUUCUUAACUAUCAACUGUACGGUUCAAUUGGUUUCUGAUAUAAGUUAAUCUUUUGAAGUUUACACAUCUCUAACUUGUUUAUUUUGUAACUCUAUUCAUCUGUGUUUCCUCUUAUUUUAAAUUUUAUACUUGCAUCACCAAUGAUUCUGAUAGGGUUUUUCGUAUUGUAUUGAUGAGAUUGACAUGUUUGUUAGGAUUAUGAGGAUCUCACAAUAAUAAAGGUGGUGCUAAUGUAACACUGGAAAAAUGAUUGACUUGGUUUCCUUUAUAACAUACGGUCUUAUUUUCAUUUUCUUGUAAUUAUUCUAUUUUCUUUUUUUCUUUUUCAUUUUCUUGUAAUUAUUCUUUUUUCUUUUUUUCUUUUUCAUUUUCUCUACUUAUAAUUAGUAUUUUAGCAUAUUUUUUAUUCUAUAUAACUUAUGUUAAUUGUUUAAUUAUCAGAAUAUCGAAGAUGACAUUUUAUGUUGUUAAGGAUAUAAGUAUAUAUUUAAAUAAUUUUGAUGUUCAAUACAUAUCUUUCUAAACUAAUUAAUGUCAAGGUUUGUUACUCAUUACAUGUUUGAUUGAUUUAUAUAAUUGUGGAUGUACUUAAUAUAAAUAUUUAGCUUACUAUAUCUAAUAGAAAUCUCUGGUUCAUAAUCACUUUAUAAUUGUAUAAACAAAAUACAAAUGGUAAAAAUAUACGUACUGCUGAAAAAUUGAUAUAUUUUCCUUUUUUUUCUAUAUCUUUUAUGAGUAAUUUUCUUUCUUAACUUUCAACUGUACGGUUCAAUUGGUUUCUGAUAUAAGUUAAUCUUUUGAAGUUUACACAUCUCUAACUCUCUCAUUUUGUCACUCUAUUCAUCUGUGUUUCUUCUUAUUUUCAAUUUUAGUUUUGUGUCACCAAUGAUUAUGAUAGGGUUUUCGUAUUAUUUUGAUGAGAUUGAGAUGGUUGUUAGGAUUAAUAGGAUCUCAAAAUAAUAAAGGUGGUGCUAAUGUAACACUGGAAAAAUGAUGGAGUUGGUUUCCUUUAUAACAUACGGUCUCAUUUUCAUUUUCUUGUAAUUAUUCUAUUUUCAUUUUCUUGUAAUUAUUCUUUUUUCUUUUUUUCUUUUUCAUUUUCUACUUAUAAUUAGUAUUUUAGCAUAUUUUUUAAUCUACAUAACUUAUGUUAAUUGUUU